GCUCACCUUUUAAAGCCACAUUACCAGCACCUUGAGGGCUUCUCCGUCCCAGUGGGCUAAUCACUGCCAUCCUGAGGCACUGCCACUGUGCUCUGCACGCCUGGAGGAAGGGGCACUGGGGGCAGCAGAAAUCUGACCAUCAGUGGAUGAAGCUUCUCAUCCACCGCCUGCACUAGGAACAGCCCUGAGGUCUCGCUGAGUGACUCCUCAGCACAUACUUCCUAAGCACUGCCUUGUGCCUGCCACUGUUCUAGGGUUGGGAUGUAGAAAUCAAAAGGACCAAGUUCUUACCCCAAGGAGCUCACAUUCAAGGGACCCUUGGGUCCUUAUGUUCUCUAGAGGUCAUGGUCACAGGCCCUGAAACGUGGAUGUGGACCUGACGGAUUCGAUCUUUGAGACACAGGCCUGUGCGCCCGUCCUGCCUGCUUUGGCCUACCUGCUUCCAUGUCGGCCUCUGACAUAGCAGCCGCGGUCUCCCCAGGCACUGCUGGGGUCCCCGAGGACUGCUGUUCCCGGUGAGUGCACCGAGCACUUCCUGGGUCAGGCUGCAGGUGCACAGUGGACUGUCAGGUCUGGCUCCAAGUCAGUCCCAAGCCUGUUUCCUGAUCCAUGCCCAGGCUUCCUGUCUCUGCUGGAACUCGCGUCAACUUAAGCCCACACCAGGCGGUACAUGAUUUCAAAGCUUGUCUCCUUCUUGAAGAUUCUGCAAAAAGCCACAAGGAGUAGCCAGGCGUGGUCCUCAGGUCCCCUAAAGCUCCAGUCUCGAGAGGCACACGGACAGAAGUGCAGGACACAAGGGGACCUGGGUAGCCAGGGACGUGGAAGGACAGAGGAGUCUCUUGUCUUACCUGAUUCAGUGGAGGGAGUGUGUUCCUCCCAGCCUCUCGCUCCAAGCUCCUCGUCACGGUUCUUUGAUGGUCAGCCAUGGAACCCAACAUUGGUUAAUUAAAGUAAAAAUGGAAUUCAUUCAAAGUA